rnacentral:rRNA from 1 species
GAAUAUUGGACAAUGGGCGAAGGCCUGAUCCAGCCAUGCCGCGUGUGUGAAGAAGGUCUUCGGAUUGUAAAGCACUUUAAGUUGGGAGGAAGGGUAGUAACUUAAUACGUUGCUACUUUGACGUUACCGACAGAAUAAGCACCGGCUCACUUCGUGCCCGCAGCCGCGGUAAUACGAAGGGUGCAAGCGUUAAUCGGAAUUACUGGGCGUAAAGCGCGCGUAGGUGGUGCGUUAAGUUGGAUGUGAAAUCCCCGGGCUCAACCUGGGAACUGCAUCCAAAACUGGCGAGCUAGAGUAUGGUAGAGGGUGGUGGAAUUUCCUGUGUAGCGGUGAAAUGCGUAGAUAUAGGAAGGAACACCAGUGGCGAAGGCGACCACCUGGACUAAUACUGACACUGAGGUGCGAAAGCGUGGGGAGCAAACAGG